rnacentral:tRNA from 1 species
GAGGGUGAAGCUCAGGGGCAGAGCGCCUGCUUUGCAUUCACGUGGUCCUGGGUUCAACCCCCAGUACCUCCA